rnacentral:tRNA from 1 species
AGCUAGUUUAGGUAUUAAACCUUAUUGAUUUGAAAUCAAUAGAUUCACAUUUGUUUGUGAGGCUUGCUG